AGUGAACGCUGGCGGUAGGCCUAACACAUGCAAGUCGAACGGCAGCACAGUAAGAGCUUGCUCUUACGGGUGGCGAGUGGCGGACGGGUGCGGAAUACAUCGGAAUCUACUUUUUCGUGGGGGAUAACGUAGGGAAACUUACGCUAAUACCGCAUACGACCUACGGGUGAAAGCAGGGGAUCUUCGGCCCUUGCGCGAUUGAAUGAGCCGAUGCCGGAUUAGCUAGUUGGCGGGGUAAAGGCCCACCAAGGCGACGAUCCGUAGCUGGUCUGAGAGGAUGAUCAGCCACACUGGAACUGAGACACGGUCCAGACUCCUACGGGAGGCAGCAGUGGGGAAUAUUGGACAAUGGGCGCAAGCCUGAUCCAGCCAUACCGCGUGUGUGAAGAAGGCCUUCGGGUUGUAAAGCCCUUUUGUUGGGAAAGAAAAGCAGCAGGUUAAUACCCCGCUGUUCUGACGGUACCCAAAGAAUAAGCACCGGCUAACUUCGUG
rnacentral:rRNA from 1 species